rnacentral:rRNA from 1 species
GAAUAUUGGACAAUGGGCGAAAGCCUGAUCCAGCCAUGCCGCGUGGGUGAAGAAGGUCUUCGGAUUGUAAAGCACUUUAAGUUGGGAGGAAGGGCAGUAAGCGAAUACCUUGCUGUUUUGACGUUACCGACAGAAUACGCACCGGCUCACUCUGUGCACGCCGCCGCGGUACUACAGAGGGUGCAAGCGUUAACCGGAAUUACUGGGCGUAAAGCGCGCGUAGGUGGUUCGUUAAGGUGGAUGUGAAAUCCCCGGGCUCAACCUGGGAACUGCAUCCAAAACUGGCGAGCUAGAGUAGGGCAGAGGGUGGUGGAAUUUCCUGUGUAGCGGUGAAAUGCGUAGAUAUAGGAAGGAACACCAGUGGCGAAGGCGACCACCUGGGCUCAUACUGACACUGAGGUGUGAAAGCGUGGGGAGCAAACA